ACGGGAGGCAGCAGUGGGGAAUAUUGGGCAAUGGGCGCAAGCCUGACCCAGCAACGCCGCGUGAAGGAAGAAGGCUUUCGGGUUGUAAACUUCUUUUAAGGGGGAAGAGAAGAAGACGGUACCCCUAGAAUAAGCCACGGCUAACUACGUGCCAGCAGCCGCGGUAAUACGUAGGUGGCAAGCGUUGUCCGGAUUUACUGGGUGUAAAGGGCGUGUAGCCGGGGGAGCAAGUCAGAUGUGAAAGCACGAGGCUCAACUUCGUGUCUGCAUUUGAAACUGCUGUUCUUGAGUGCUGGAGAGGCUAACGGAACUCCUAGUGUAGCGGUGAAAUGCGUAGAUAUUAGGAAGAACACCAGUGGCGAAGGCGGUUAGCUGGACAGUAACUGACGCUGAGGCGCGAAAGCGUGGGUAGCAAACAGGAUUAGAUACCCUGGUA
rnacentral:rRNA from 1 species